UCUUUAAUUGACAGGGACCUAUUUUUUAA
rnacentral:piRNA from 1 species